UGGACAUGUAGAGAUCUAUUCUGUACUAAAAAUAUCGAAAACAUCAGAAAACAACGUAUAUCAUAAUAGAAAAAUAAGCAGACUACUUCUGAGCGAUAAACACUUGCGUUACAAGUCCUUCUAGCAGUGCCCAAAGUUUUAUUAAGAAUUCUUCGACGGCUGAUCAAAUCGUUUUCAAAUUUAUUCGAUCUACCGACACCCACUGCUUGUACAUCAGGGUAUCUAUCAAUUCGUCUUUAAACAACUCUUCCAGCUGAUUCACUGAAUCUUCCGUUCCUGGGUGCUGAGUAGGAGGAGGAGGGAAUUCGCGAUGCUGUGUGGCGUGGGAGAGCAUUAUAAUCAUAGGCAGCAGGCAGCUGCCUAUAUAACAUGGAGACGACGCUGUCCCCGUUCGAAUGGAACUCCGCACAGAGGACUCGAGAGAAGAGAGCCAGCCAGUAGUGAUCCUUGCGAGCACGCCCUCCACGUCUUGUUAGCGAGGACUUUCCAUGGCAUCCAGCAGCAGCAGCAGCAGCAUCAGGCCCACGCUGGGGGCCUCGGCCUUUCUUCCAACUGCAAACCCAGAGGCCACAAUUCGUUCGUUGGUUGGUCCGACCAAGCUUCUCACGUAGAGCCGUCAGAACCUCGAUGUAGAACCGUACUCGCCCGACCUUACCCCCUGUGACUUUUCUCUAUUUCCCAAGUGAAGUCAAGUCAAGUCGGCGCUGAAGGAGAAAAGAUUUGGAAGUGUGGAAGCGGUUAAAGCAAAAGCGACGAAGGUUCUCGAACAGCUGACAGAAGAGGACUUCCAGAACUACUUUCAACAAUGGAAACGUCGUAUGGAGCGGUGUAGGGAUCGCCAAGGGCUAUACAUCGAAGAUGAAAAAAUUUCUGCUGUAAUUGGUGACGAAUAAAAAGUGU